rnacentral:rRNA from 1 species
UACAGAGGGUGCAAGCGUUGUUCGGAAUUAUUGGGCGUAAAGCGCGUGUAGGCGGCUUUGCAAGUCGGGUGUGAAAGCCCUCAGCUUAACUGAGGAAGUGCGCCCGAAACUGCAUAGCUUGAGUACCGGAGAGGAUGGUGGAAUUCCCCAAGUAGAGGUGAAAUUCGUAGAUAUGGGGAGGAAUACCGGUGGCGAAGGCGACCAUCUGGACGGAUACUGACGCUGAGACGCGAAAGCGUGGGUAGCAAACAGG